rnacentral:lncRNA from 1 species
GGAGGAUCAAGCCACCCAAAAUGCUUUCUCUUCCGGUGCCGUAAUUAAUGAGGGUCCUUUUCAUUAAUAUGUUUGAAUAUGUAUUUCUUUUUUUUUUUAAUUUUCAUUAGAUUUAAUUGCAUCUUGUUCUUGUUGUCUGGUGUGUCAAUCGUUCCCUAUUUUCAGUUAAUAAAAUUUCAGCAGUGGAUUCUUGGUUUAUUAAUGUUUAUAUAACUGAAUUGUUCAGCAGAUGUACUCUGCAUAUGUACUCUGCACAACUAACACAGAAAUAAACACAGAAAUAAAUAUAUGUAAGUGGGUACAGGACUGACUCUGCUUCUGGCUGCGAAUUGCAAAUAAAAGAAGCCGAUAUAUUAAACCCAACUGACAUUAUUAUUGCAAAUAAGAGAAGUUAAUACAUUGUCUACCCACUCUGCAGACUGUCAACAAAUGUUCAACCACCACAAAUGAAAAAAUGGAACUUGAUUUUUGUCUAACCAAAUACAAGCCAAACAGGAUUUUGCGCAGAUAUUCUACCAGCAAAUUCUAAAUCCUCUUUGACAUAAUCCAUCUUAGAAUAAUUGCUCCUUACUUCAUCUCUGAAACCAAACUCUUAGCUCUUGCUUUUCUAAUAGGUUGCAGGCCGUUUUAGUAGACACCCCAUGAAAGGAUCGGCUAGAGUGUAAACAAGCAUUGCCCCUUCCUUGGUUGCUUGCUUUACUAUCUCCAUCAACUGCUCAACAUCAUUAAAUUAACAAAAUUGUUGCAAUUACAAUAUGUCAGUGCUCACAUUUUAGCUGAUUAAAUUAAAUGAGGUUUCAACAUUAAGCAAAACAAUCCAGAUUAUAAUAAUAAAGCAUUUCCUCUAGUACACCAACAACAAUUAUUGUUUUCUGUGAUCAAAUCACAUACAGAAAAUAACUAAAUUGACAAGAGUUGAACUGAAGAGUCAGCUUUCCAAUUUUCUACUUCUACAAUUUUAUUCGGAAUAAAGAAAAACAGCCUAAUAUAGAAGGGAAAGAAAUAAAAAGUUCAGCAUGGUCAAAUGGGUCAAUUUUCAUCCUCCCUUUACUGCUCCACUUUGCUCAAUCAAGUGGAUUUACAUUCAAUUCUUGAGGAUUUGAAUUAAAAAAACAAAAAAAAAAAAGCAACAGUUUAUAUUCAUCUAUAAGCGGGCUAUGUAAAGAUCAAGGUCUGUGUCUGUAAAACUUAAGUCUUCCGGCUUCAAAGGAGAAUGAGGCAAAAGCUGAACAUUUGUGGAGUGAUAUAAAAAAUUUGUGGUUCUGGAUCCAUUUCACAUUAGGCAUUGUAAUGUUUAUGGAUGGUAUACAGGAUGUCACGAAUAGUUAAACGAAGAAGGUAUUUGAUUGAAAUGCGCAGAUGUUCGAUGAAAUGUAUCUGCGUUUCAGCCUCAGCGGAAAUUGUUGUGAGUGUGUGAUGGGUAUUUCAAAAUAUUGAAUCCAAGACAAUUGAAUUUGAAUUAAAUUGAAGGAGUUUAAAUUUAAUUAACUAAAGUUAAUUGACUCAUUUUUAAUAAUGUUAAAAUUUGGUUAGAGGAAGUUAUGGUAGUUAAGAAAAUAAAAUUAAAAGAAGUUGAAGUGGAUUAAAGAGAGAUAAAUUAAAUGGAGGCUAUUCAAAGAUGUAUUUGGAACAGACACCGUUAAUUUAUAAAUAGUAGCCUACAUAUUAUUAUUCGAUAUUGAUUUUUUCUCUACCACUUCUUCAACUCUACUUCUUCCAUAUUCCAAAUACUAACACAUAAAUCAUCAUAUUUUAUAUUUAAUUAUUUGUUAUUCCAAAUUGUUGUAUUGAGUGUGCACUAAUACAAAAAUUACAGUUGUAUCCUAGGAACUAUCUAUCAACAAUCUAUUUGUACCAAAAUAUUAUUUUGAGAGGCAAAAACAGUCUCAAAAACAGCGUAUACCACAUCUUAACUCUUACUUAUUUUAUUCAUAACCAUAUCAUAUUUUUUUGCAAUAUCUUAUUUAUUAUCUUAAAUUUUUACAACUAUCUUAAGAUUAGUUCUUAUGGAUGUUGUAACUAAUGCUGCAAUGAUGGCUGUCGCUAAAGCUCUACUUGACACACAAAAACUGAACGUUUGAUAGGAAUUUUCUAAGGCAAUGGCAUGAUCAUAUCUAUGGCACAUUGGAUGUAAUGAAUUAUGCUUAAUUUCUAUAGAGCCUCCACCAGAUUCUGAAUCUAAAAAUUAUGAGGUAUCAUAUCAAAAUUAGACUAAAGCAAAUAAGAUAUGCUGAAGUACCAUUCUGAACACUGUUUCAAAUGAGUUAUAUGAUGUUUGUUCACAACACAAGUUUGUGUAUGAAAUUUGGACUUAAUUGCAUAAAAAUAUAUCAUAGAAGAUGCUGGAGCCCAAAAAUAUUUAAUUGCUAAUUUUUUAGAUUUUAAGAUGAUAGAAGAUAAGGAAGUGACUUCUCAAAUUCAUGGAUUCCACAUGCUUAUUAAUGAUUCGAAAAAUGAAAAUAUAAAUCUUCCUGAGUUUUUUGUGGUUGGUUACCACAUUGAAAAAUUGGCUGACUCAUGGAAGGAUUAUUAGAAAAUAACAAAGAAAAUAAUAAGCACAAAAUGAAAGCAUAAGAAUUUGGAGGAUGCUAUUGUUCAAAUCCGAAUUGAAGAAAAACAUAGACAAAUGGAUCAAUUGGAGAAAGCCAAGGAAAUUACUUUUAAGGCUAAUUUGAUUGAGAAUGAGGCUCAUCCAAGCAAGAAUCAAAACCCUAACAACAACAAGCUUUUCAAAAAUAAAAAGAUCACAUUAAAAAAAAAAAAAGGCAAUUGUUAUGUUUGUGGCAAACCUGGAUAUUUUGCUAUCAAAUGCAAGUAUAGAAAAAGAGAUCACAAGCCUCUUAAGGCCAAUUUGGUCAAUAAAGAAGAAAUUAUUGCUGUUGUGGUGGUCACUCAAGCGAACUGCUACCGAGGGAAAAAAAAUGGCGACAAAUUCUACUGCUACCAAACACAUUAGUAGUGAUAGAAAUUCUUUCUUUAAGUAUGUUCAAGAGAGCGAUUUGGAAGAAAAAGUGCAUUUUGGUGACUUCCACUCGAUUCCAAUCAUAGGAAAAGGUAAAAUUCUUCUCAAAUUGACUUCCGGAAAAAUCUUCUCAAUGAAAAAUGUACUUAAUAUUCCUAAUAUUAGAUAUAAUUUAAUUUCCUAUUUCUACUUGGGAAGGGUUGGUGUAAAAGUCUCCUUUGAAUGAGAUAAAAUUGUAAUGACUAAAAAUGGGCUCUUUGUUGGGAAAGGAUAUGUCUAUGGAAAUUUGUUCAAGAUUAAUGUACUUGACACAAUUAUUAAUAAUCGAGUCUCUACUUCUCCUUAUAUUUUCUUACUCUGUUGAUUUACGGCAUGCUAGAUUAGGCCAUGUGAAUUUUUCUUGAAGAAAAUGAAAGGUAUUGGCUUACUGUCUGGUUAAUGUAUCAAAGAUUGAAAAAUGUUGUGUACGUGUGGAGCCUAAGUCUGUAAAAAGGACAUGUAAACAAAUUCUUAUGAGAGAAACUAAAAUAUUCAGUUUAAUUUACAGUCACCUUGGAGAUUUAAAACAACCAUGACUAUAGGAGGUAAAAGAUUUUAUGUAACCUUGAUUAAUGAUUUUUCAAUAUAUACUAAGUUGUAUUUACUAAGAAAUAAAGAUGAGGCGGGUGAAAAUUUCUCAAUUUAUGAAAAUGAAGUUGAAAAUCAACUUGGGAAAAGAAUUAAAAAAAUUAAGAACUGAUAGAGAAGGGGAGUAUGCGUCUAAUAUGUUUUUGCCCUUUGUGAGGAUCAUGGCAUUAUUCAUGAAAUGACACCUCCUUAUUCACCUGAAUCGGAUGGGGUUGCUAAGAGGAAAAAUAGAACCCCAAAAGAAAUGAUAAAUGCGAUGCUUGUAAGUUCUAGGGUCCCUUUGAAAUUAUGGGGGGAAGCUAUCCUUGAUUUACAUCAGAUGGAUAUGAAGAUAACGUUUCUCAAUGGUGACAUUGAUGAGACUAUCUAUAUGGUGCAGCCUGAAAACUUUGUAUCAGGAGACCCAAAUAAUAUGGUUUGCAAACUUAAUCAAUCUAUCUUUGGACUCAAGCAAGCAUCUCGACAAUGGUAUUUCAAGUUUCAUCAAGUGAUCAUCUCAUUCAAUUUUGAGAUGAAUUUGGUCGAUGAUUGCAUAUACUAUAGGUUCUGUUGGGGCAAGUAUAUUUUUUCGGUUUCGUAUGUCGAUGAAAUAUAAAUCCAUCUUGUUAGCAAUGAUAUAUGCUUAUUACACAAUACCAAGAAAUUUCUAGCUAAUAAGAUGAAACAGCUAUAUCAAAAAAUAUUCUCAAGAGAUAUGGCUUACAAGAUUGCAAGAAAUUUAGUUUUUAUGGAAGAUUGUGAAUUUAGAUGCUUUUAUGAUAUAGACAUUUUUCAGUUAUUUCAGUUUAUGGAUAUUUAAAGUUAUUUUCUACAAAAUUAAAUGUUUUGAUUAUUCACACUCUGAUUUUAAUAUGGUUUGAUCUUACUAACGUUUAAAGUGAACCAGUUAGAAAUAGGCAUAUUAAGAUCACAAUGUAUGAAAUUUCCAUGCUAUACAUCCAUAUCAUGAUCCAUGUCAUUGGCAUAGUGACCAUUGAUGAGUCGAGUUAUGAAAGUUGUUAUAAAGGCCGCUUUGAUCUUAUGUUGAUAUGAUUAAUGAACCGGAUUAGUUAUGGAUGCAUUUAAGUAAUGAUAGUAAAGUUCAACUUAUACAAUUAUUUUUGCAAAGAAUAAUUAUAAGGUUACACAAUUAACCCAAGUAGCAUAUUGUUGGAUCUUGAAUCCAGUAUUAUUGGAUCCUUAAUCUAACAUUGGGCUCAUAUGUGAAUAAGUAUGAGUUGCAGAUUGUCAUAUAUGAUUAAAUCCAAUGAAAAGUAAUCUAAAAUUUUUUUCAGUGAUUUGAACUUUGAUGUAUCAAAUUGGGUGUGAGCCUUUAAUAAGAACAAUUUCUAUUUGUAAGAUGGGUUAAAAUAGAAAUACCUAAAUAUAACAAAAAAGUGUCUAUAUAAGUAGUUACAGUCCCAAGGCACUACUAGAAAAAUGGUCUUUACUGAUACUUGUGUUCUGACACUUUGUUUAAAAGUAUCAGUAUAUACAUAUAUUUGGAUCAUUUUUCACGUUUAACAGAUAUGUAUCAUUAAUUACUAAUACUGAAGUAUCAAUAGUUUUAGUAAUAACGAUCAAUGACGCUUAGGUAUCAGCAAUUAAAAAUUAUCAUUUUAAUUUUGUUUUAGUCCAAAUUCGAACCCAAGACCUCUUAAACCUAGAGCUUUUACAUUGAAUCAAAAGACCACUAGGCUACAAAUUAUUUUUAAUUUUUUUAGAGUUGUGCUUUUUAAGUGGAUAAAAACAAAACAAAUGGACAAGUCUUAUCUUAUCCAAAAUACAACUUUUCAACUCCCUUUACCAAAGUAUUCGUUCCCUUCUAAGCUCCCCAGAUCUGAAAAAUCCCUAACAUCCAAAUUGUCAAAAAGUGCUCAGCCAUGAUCCUAUCAAACUAGUGGCACAGAUUCACCAUUUGCCUUCAAAAUCCUAACUUAUUGUUUCUUUUCUUAUUUUAUGAUUUCGGGUCUCUCUUGUUGUCAUUAGAUCUUGAGUUUUUUUUUGUUUUAAUUGUUUUUUUAGGUUUAAAUAAGUGAUUUGGAGAAGAGCUUCUAUGUUUCUUUGGCUACUUGGAAGAAACUAGAAGGUAUUAUUUCUUUGGCUACUUGGAAGAAACAAGAAGGUAAAGAUUUAGCUUUUAUUGUGUUUUUUUCUCUACUACUUUCUUUUCUUUUAUUGGCACCAAAUAGCCUUCAUUAUAUCUACUUUGGAAAAUAUUGUGUUUAGGGUGAUCGUCACUGUAAGGUUAACUUUAUUUCGCUGAUGAACGACAAUAAACAUUUUUUACAGUAAAACCCUAAAAUUUUCUAAUUUGGGAAUUCUUAAGAGCAGCAUGAUUAUGCUAAAAUUGAUGGUUUAUAUUGGUUCAUAGUAGUUCUAUGUUGAUAUAACUUAUUGCUUAUUAACUAUUUGUUCAUGUGUUAUUAGCUUUUUUUUUCAAAAGCAAUCUUUUCAUUUUUUUUGGCUGUUAUUUUUUAGUUUUGUUCAUAUCGAAUAGAUUUCAAUUUUUAUUUGCUAUAAAUAGUCUCAUUGGAUGAUUACUUAUUACAAACUAUCAAAUAGAUGCUUUUACAAAGGAAAAGUUUGAAGUAUGUGGCUUAGGUUGAGAAAUGAGGUGUCUUUAUCAUUUCUUUAAUGGAUUUGUUUACAGGGCAAAACAGAAUUUUGUUUCUUCAAUUCAUUACUAAGGCAAUAUUAGAUUUGUCUUAUUUAUAUUUAUGUUCAUAAUAAGGCAAUAUCUACUUUAAUUGUUUAAUUUUUCUUAUUUAUAUUUAUAUGACUGAUGGCCAAAAUCAUAAGACUUGUUUAUAAGUAAUGAUUUUGGAAUGAACUCUCAAAUUAUUGAAAUAUUUUGUCCAAAGUUUACCAUAUGUUUGAAAUAAUUAAAGUUAAAUGUGUAUGUUUCAGUUCUGGAAAUUUGGAAUGAAUUGGGUCUAUAACUAAUUUUUAAUCGAUUUUUCAAAAUGGUUGGUUGUUGUCCAAUCUUUCAUAAAUUACUCAUGUAUCAUGUUUGGUGGUGCAAAACGAUAGUCUAAACAUGUCUGAAUGAGCUGAAAUUCGGAGAAACUAAAGUUCUAUAUGAAUACUUCAAAUUUGAAAAAUUUUAUGUUGAUUGAACUUGCAAGUUAUUUUUAAUGAUUUUUUAAACUCUGCUGCUCUGCAGCAAGUUCUUUUGACAUAACUAUUUAUUAACUUUUGUUCUUACAAAACACGAGCAUAAUAAUAUCAGAAUAACCUCAAAUUUUAAUAUGUUGUUCAUUCAUAUGUGUUGUUAAAAACUGGAAAAUAUCAUUCCAAUGUAUUAAGUAUCUUAAAUUUUAUAAGAUUCAUGGCCAAAAUCAUAAGACUUGUUUAUAAGCAAUGAUUUUGGAAUGAACUCUCAAAUUAUUGAAAUAUUUUGUCCAAACUUUACCAUAUGUUUGAUAUAAUUAAAGUUAAAUGUGUAUGUUUCAGUUUUGGAAAUUUUGGAAUGAAUUGGGUCUAUAACUGAUUUUUAAUCGAUUUUUCAAAAUGGUUGGUUGUUGUCCAAUCUUUCAUAAAUUACUCAUGUAUCAUGUUUGGUGGUGCAAAACAAUAGUCUAAACAUGUUUGAAUGAGCUGAAAUUCGGCGAAACUAAAGUUCUAUAUGCUUACUUCAAAUCUGAAAAAUUUUAUAUUGAUUGAACUUGCAGGUUAUUUUUAAUGAUUUUUUAAACUUUGCUGCUCUGUAGCAAGUUCUUUUGACAUAACUAUUUAUUAACAUUUGAUCUUACAAAACACCAGCAUAAUAAUAUCAGAAUAACCUUAAAUUUUAAUAUGUUGUUCAUUCAUAUGUGUUGUUAAAAAUUGGAAAAUAUCAAUCCAAUGUAUUAAGUAUCUUAAAUUUUAUAAAUAUGUAUUUAAGUACCAAUUACUACUGUAGUUUUUCAUUGACAAUUUUGAAUUACACACAAAUCUACUUAAUUAUUUUUAGGAAUCUGGUUUUAUUAUUUAAUUGUCCCACAUACCUCUUGUUGUGCAAAUUUUAAUGAACUCGCAAGUGCACGAAUCUAUUGUAGUAUAGAUCAAUGGUGACGAGUGUCGAUCCCAUGAGGAGGUGGAUUUUAAUUAUAUGUAGAAUUAAUUUUGUAAAUGGGUGGUUGGAAUUGUGGUGGAAGUGAUUUAAAUUAUCCUAAAAUUGGAAUUGAAAUGGCGAUAAUCAAUUCUAAAAUUGGAAUUGCAAUGGCGAGAAUAAAUUGAAGCGAAAUCUAUUGAAAUGACGUACUUGGGUAUCUGGAUCCGUAUCAACAUGCACCAUGGGCUAAAUAUUCCUUAUUAAUACCAAUUAAAUCAUGAGGGGGGGAAUCCACACCUCAUGAACCACACUUUAAUCAAUAUGGUGCUAAGGGCUUAUCGUGCCAAAUAAUAAUAACCUUGUACUAGGGGGCCGGUGAAACUAAGGUGGUACUAGACAAGAUUAGUAUUAUUUGUCGACGAGAAGUUAAAACAUCCACAAAAAUUAGAGGGGAAGAGAAAAUAAAUUUACCAAAUAAAGCCCAUGACACAUGUUGAGACUUCACCUUCAACCCAAGCUUGAAAGAAAAUUAGCUACUCAUAAUUGAACUAGGGGCAAAAUGGAAAUUUAUUAAAAUACGAAGAAAAUACAAGAUGGAGAAGGAAUUACAAAAAAUGGAUUCAGAGAUAUCAAAUUAGGGGGGGGAGGCCCCCUUUUUAUAGAUACAUGGAGUAAAUCAUUGUCAUCGGAUUAAAAACAGUUUGGACGCUCAGGAUUGCGCCACAUCAUCAGUCAACAGUACGCGGUUUGACCACGUGGAUGAACAGUAACACGGUUUGACCCGAGUUGAACAGUAACGCAGUUUGGUUGAAAAUAAUCCUGUGUGAUGCGUGUACCGUACGCGAGAUUUUUCGUCCACUGAUAUGCUGCCACGUCACCAUCAACAGUACAUAAGAAUUUUAGUCCAACAGGAUCAUGACACCUCAUCAGUCAAUGCCACAUCAUCGGUCAAUGCCACGUCAUCGAUCCGUCUAUGUGAACAGUGUCGUGAACAGUAACAUAUACAAUACCGUACAUGUGAAUAGUGUCAUUUUUCCUUUUAUACUCCUCCUAAGGUUUUCAACCAUCUUGAGUUCAAAAGUGAUGUCUGUUUUGCCGUCUGAUCUCUCCUUUAUUGUGAAAUGACUAUAAUGCCCCUAAAAUACAUAAAAUACUUAAUUAAAAUAAAACACAUGUAAUUAAAUCACAAGAAGGUUAAAUACAUAAAAGUAAAGGUUGUUAGUAAUACUUAAAAUGUAAAAUGACGGGUUUCUCCUUUAUAAAUAUGCAUUUUCUAACACUCAACACACCCCCCAACCAACUUAUUGCUAGUCCCUAGCAAAUAAAGUGAAAACAAAAUUCAAAUUCAAAAUAAUUUUUUUUUUAAUAGAAACACUCGUAUUCCAUCAGAUUAAUGAUAACAAUCAAAUAAAAGUAUAAGCAUGAUCUCCAGUCUAAAGCAACAUCAUACCCACAUCAACCAUCCACAUGAAUCAGCCCAGUAGACUUUGUUAUAGCUACUUUUAAUAAUGACAUGUCAAACCCCAAAAUCUCACUGGAAGUAGUGACACUCUCACAAAGAAAUUAAAACCAAUAAAAAUAGUCACUCCAAUGAAUGGUAAUUGAGAGAGAAAAUAAUAAAGAAGUGAUAUCACAUGCUCUCACCAAGAUGAAAUAAAUAUGCCCUCAGCUUAGAAAUAAUACGAUCUCAAGUUAAAUAAAAAUGCUAGUCAACCCAAUUUAUUUAUCUUUUUAUUUAUUUAUUUAUUUUUAUUAUGCACCACUACAUCUUUUUAGCCCACAUAACUAGCUUCUACUUCAUAUUAUAAUUCCCUAAAAUUAGGAAGGACUUUUAUUAGGAUGUAACGUAGGCUAGGGACAUGGUUAACAAAGAAGGGAAAUAAGGAAAACAAAGUGUAUGUUUGAGAAAAAUGCAGAGGAAUUUUUUUUUUGCUUUUACUUGGCACAACGUCACUAAAUAAAAUAAUUAUUUACAUUUUCUCAAACAUAAAUAGGUGAUGGAACUUAUAAGACAUCGGGUAAUACUCCAAAUCGGAGUGGGUUAAGAUGAUAAGUUGACAAAGAAAAUGUCUUUUUUUUUUUUUAAAGGCUCAAAAGGGUUAACUAUGGAUAUUUAAUAAAAGGGAUGGCUAGAAAGGCUCAAACGGAUCAAAGAUGGCCUUUCCAUCGUCUUUUAGGGCUCUAAAUAAUCAUCCAUAUCUACUAGUUAGAUGGGCCUCCAAAUGUAGCAACACACAUUUUUUUUUUCUUUUUUUUUUAAUUUUACAAUUUUUUUUUUAAGGGUUAACUCAAAAGAAAUCUAGAGAUCGUGUAUACAAUAAUAAACUGCUAAGCUGUAUAGAGAAUGGGCAAAAUGGUUACUCUCCAAGAAAAUGAUAGGCUCAACAACUCACUUGGCACUUAUUUAUGACAUGUUCAUUCCUUCAACCAACUCAUAUAUAUCUCCGACAUCAACAUGUAAAAUAGCAAACAUAGCGUAACAUCACUUAAGACCAAAGAUAAUACAACUACUAAAAUUUAAAAUUAAUCAUGUCAUCCAAUGUUAAAACAAAUCACACAAAUUUUUUUUUUUUUUUAAACAACAUUCUACCCCCCAACCUAUUCUAAGCAUGAAAGGAAAAUAUGCAUGCAGAAAUGUGAAUAUAAUGCAGAAAAACUAAUUAGAAAAGUUACACUUAAAAUGAUAGAAAACGAAAAUAAUUUUUUUUUUUAACUUAGAAGAUGCGUUUCUAGAGGCACUACACUCCAUAUUCAGCCAUCUUCGACUCACAAGUUGGAAAAUGUAUAUUUAUGGAGGAGAAAUUAAAAAGAAGAAAAAUAAACAUAAAAACAUAAUAAAGAAAAAGAAAAUGUUUGAAUUUUUUUUUGUUUUUUAAUUUUUUUUAAACGAUGAAGAUGCGUUUCUAGAGUCACUACACUCCAUAUUCAGCCAUCUUCAACACAAAAAGUUAGCAACAAUUAGUUUCUACAACAAAAAAUUAGUAAAAACUUAACCAAAAUUCCACAAUUGUCGACUAUUCCCUCCCCCCAACCAGAAUGAAAUAUUGUCCUCAAUGUUUGAAAGGAAAGAAGUAGAGUUUAGAAGACAUCACCUAGGUGGUGCAACACAGAAAAUAAUAUUUACAAGCGGAGAGUUAAAUCUAAUUUGUACUUCUUACUGCGGCUACGGUUACCAUAAUUAUUUGGAUGCUCCAACACAAAAGUCCAGGGGUCUGGCUCCGGUCUAUAAACUUGUAACAUAUCAAGUAGCUCAUUAGCAGUGUGAGCACAAAUAAAGAGUUUUUUCGCAUUAGAGGGAAUGAAAUAGUUUUUUAUUGCAUGGUUAAGAAAUGCGAUAAAGCCAUCAUAAAAGUUAUUGACAUUUAACAAACCGAUAGGUUUCUGAUGGAUGUGCAUAUGGGCCCAAGAUGCUAGUGUGAUAAGUGCCUCUAGUGUUGCAAGAUCUCCUGGAAGGAAAAUAAAAGCAUCAGCAUGAUUAAGCAUUUAAGUUAUUCUUUCUUGCAUACCUGAGACGACUAACUCUUCUCCAGUUGAUGAGUCAGACGAACUGCCCAAUGGUUUUAGGGCUCUUGGGAUGAUGCCUAACACUUGGCUGCCUCUGACAAAAGCUGCUUCUGAGACCAUUUUUGAUAACCCUCGAUUACCUCCUCCAUACACCAAGUGUAAUUUUCUCGCUGCUAUGCUUCGACCAAGAUCGAUGGCUGCCUCAACGAACUCUUUAUGUUUGCCAUAGGUAAAUCCAGAAAGCACACAAAUGUUCUUGAAUUGUCUAUUUGGAGUAGCUGCCAUUGUGAUACUUCUCAAAAAACAAUUUGUGAGUGCUUGACAAAAAAAAAAUCACAUUUAAGAGUCUUGGUGACAGUGGGUCACAGUUGUGUAUGAGGUAACAUGUCAGUGUCAAAUAACGCGUAAAGCACGUGGCUCGCGAGUCAAAAAGGAAACAGUAAAAAGGAAAAAGCAAACAGUAAUAAAAUUAUUAAAGACAAUAAUACACACAAUAAAACAAUAGUGAAAUAAAAUAACAGUAAAGUGAAAGGAUAUUUACAGGUAGUUGCGACAGUGGCUCACAUCUUCCUCUGGUUUUACGUCCAGAAACGGCUUGAACGCCCUCUAUGGGUCGAUGAUAGGCUUCCUAUCCAGUUUUCUUAUAAACUGGCAAACAAUGUCGUUUAUAGUCAGAUUCCCGAGACUAUAUCGUGCAUGCUCUUUCUGGAAUAAUGGCCAUAACUGGAGAAUCGCUCCUUGCACAUAUCCAUUGGGAUGCGUUUCAAGAGACAAAAGGAUAUCAUCCAAUGACUCCUUAUUCAAGCCAUCCCUAAUGAAUUGAAUCUUAUCUUCCCUGUUAUCAGACACCAUUCCUAAAGAACAUUGGUUUUUUUGCAACUCAUUCUGGCACACUUAUGACAAGCAACAGAAAUUCUUCGAGCUCGUCAUUUUCUUGCAUAAUUUCCUUUACCACAACCAGGCAUGUAUGCAAUAAAUUUUGGAGGUAACUCACCUGCCGAUCGUACUUUAGCCUCAAUUAACCAACGGAUGUCAGCAGGUAUGUUAUUCCUCAUGAGUAAUCGCAUGCGUUCGGACCGAGCUUUAUAGAUCAUAAGGAGGGCAUUCUGAGGAAGUGAAGGGAAUCGCUUGUGAAGCUUCACUAGAAUCUCGUUUAUGUCCAUACUUUCGCCUCAGAAUAUCAGUUAUUAUGAGAAACUGAAGUAACCGACUUGAUUGUCACGGAGUACCGUUAUCCGCCAUUUAACCGGGGUAACAAACUAAAGCACACAAACAGAAAAACAAAUUAAAACACAAAAAAAAAAUUAAAAUCGUCCUCUUAUUGAAUUUACCUCAAGCUCCAACUGGAUGUCGUAAACACUUCUCUCAAUAUCUCUGAGUUGGCUUUCUAGACCCUCAACAUAGGAUACUAACUCUGGUGGUUGUAGAGCCCAAAUGCGAUAUAUUUUACAAAAUUGAAUCUGCCUUUUGAGAUGAGUUUUGACAUGUUGAAGUGGUUUAAGAAUGUUCAGGAGGAACGGUCUAAGUAAGGUACUCAUGAUUAAAAAUGAUAAGAGAAAACUUAAUAGUUAAACAAACAUACUUAUGCAAAAAUAAUUUCAAAUUAGCAAAAGAAUAAUAAAAAGAAAGAAAGAAAAAUCAAAUCAAUGAAAAGGAAAAAAAAAUCAAUUCAAAUCUGGUGGGUAACUCAAAUUUAUUUCGGUGUUUUCUCCAUGUGGUUGGUACUCUAGAUAUGGCUUUAAUCUUUGACCAUUAACUUUAAACGUGACACCGUUCUUUGGGUCCUUAAUUUCAAUUGCCCCAUGUGGAAAAAUAGUAUGUACAAUAAAUGGGCCAGACCAACGAGAGCGUAACUUACCUGGGAAUAGGUGCAAGCGAGAAUUGAAUAAAAGCACUUUCUGACCUGGAGUGAAAGAUUUUCUCAUAAUUUGCUUGUCAUGGAAGACUUUCAUUCGUUGCUUGUAAAUCUUGGCAUUUUCGUAUGCGUCAUUGCGAAUUUCUUUAAGUUCUGCCAGUUGUAAUCUUCUUUCUGAGCUGGCUUGCUGCAUGUCAAAGUUGAAUUUCUUGAUGGCCCAAUAUGCACGAUGCUCGAGUUCCACAGGUAGGUGGCAAGCUUUUCCAUACACUAACCUGUAGGGUGACAUCCCAAUCGGGGUCUUGAAAGCCGUUCUAUAUGCCCAUAAUGCAUCAUCAAGUCUUAAUGACCAAUCUUUUCUGUCUGGCCUCACCGUCUUUUCUAAUAUGUGCUUUAUUUCUCGAUUGGAGAUCUCAACUUGGCCACUGAUUUGCGGAUGAUAUGGGGUCGCCACUUUAUGAGUGAUUGAAUACUUUGUCAAAAGAGCUUUGAAUGCUUUGUUACAAAAGUGGGCACCACUAUCACUGAUUAUUGCUCGAGGGAAUCCAAAGCGUGAGAUAAUAUUACUUUUCAAAAAUCCUAUCACCACCUUGUGAUCAUUGGUUCUGCAUGGAAUUGCUUCUACCCAUUUCGAUACAUAGUCAACAGCAACGAAUAUGUAUUGAUGGCCAAAAGAAAGGGGAAAGGGUCCCAUGAAGUCGAUACCCCAUACAUAAAAAAUCUCAACCACUAAAAUUGGAUUUAGUGGCAUCAUGUUCCUUCGUAUAAUGCUCCCCAUUCGUUGACACAUAUCACAUGAAGAACAAAAAGUGUAAGCAUCUCGAAAUAUAGUUGGCCAAUAAAAACCACAUUGUAAAACUUUAGUUUCUGUUUUCUUAGCACUGAAAUGGCCUCCACAAGCUUGUUCAUGGCAGAAUGAAAGAAUAUUCUGAAUUUCAUUUUCUGGGACACAUCGUCUAACAAUUUGAUCAGCACAAUACUUGAACAAAUACGGGUCAUCCCAAAAGAAAUUCUUUAUCUCUACAAAAAAUUUAGCCUUAUCUUGCUUGGUCCAAUGCUCUGGAAGUUUACCUGUAACAAGAUAAUUAACUAUAUCAGCAUACCAAGGUAAUACUUCCACACUCAUUAAUUGUUCAUCUGGAAAUGACUCAUUUAAUAUUAAUGGCUCUGUAAUUGUGUCAAAAUGGUGACGAGAGAGAUGGUCCGCCACGACAUUUUCUGUCCCUUUCUUAUCUUUGAAUUCCAAGUCAAAUUCCUGCAAAAGUAAUACCCAACGAAUUAGUCUAGCUUUUGCAUGUUUCUUUGUGAGAAGAUAUUUAAGAGCAGCAUGAUAUGUGAAUAUAAUUAUUUUACAACCAAUGAGAUAAGAUCGAAAUUUCUCUAAUAUAAACACUACUGCUAGCAUUUCUUUUUCAGUAGUUGAAUAGUUCAACUAUGCAUCAUUCAAUGUCAUACUAGCAUAGUAAAUAACAUGGGGAAUUCGAUCAACUCUUUGUCCUAAUACUGCUCCUACUGCAUAAUCAGAUGCAUCGCACAUGAGCUCAAAUGGUAAGCUCCAAUUUGGGGGCUGAAUGAUGGGUGAUGAUGUCAACAACUGCUUUAACUUUUCAAAUGCCACAAGACAUGAAUCAUUAAAGACAAAAGGUACAUCCUUAGCAAGUAAAUUGCAUAAGGGUCUAGAAACAUUGCUAAAAUCUUUAAUGAAACGUCUAUAGAAACCAGCAUGCCCAAGGAAAGAUCUUACUUCUUUGACUAUUUUGGGUGAAGGAAGAUUAGAAAUGAGAUCCACCUUGGCUUUGUCAACCUCAAUACCUUUGCUCGAAAUGAUGUGACCGAGAACAAUACCUUGUUUUACCAUAAAAUGGCAUUUCUCCCAAUUUAAAACUAAAUUCUUCUUGAUACAUCUCUGCAGAACUAAUGUUAGAUGAUGUAAACAUUGAUCAAAUGAAUCACCAAAGACAGAAAAGUCAUCCAUAAAGACUUCAAGGAAUUGUUCAACCAUAUCAGAAAAAAUGAUUAACAUGCAUCGUUGAAAUGUAGCAGGUGCAUUACAUAAUCCAAAUGGCAUUCUCCUAUAUGCAAAAGUGCCAAAAGGGCAAGUGAAAGUGGUCUUCUUUUGAUCUUUUGGUGCUAUGGGAAUCUGAUUGUAUCCUGAGUAGCCAUCUAGAAAGCAAUAAAAUUCAUGGCUUGCUAAUCUAUCAAGCAUUUGAUCAAUAAAUGGUAAAGGAAAAUGGUCUUUACGUGUGACAGAAUUCAACUUUCUAUAAUCAAUGCAUACACGCCAUCCUGUAGUCACUCUAGUUGGUAUCAAUUCAUUAUCAGCAUUCGUAACUACUGUGACUCCUGACUUUUUGGGGACAACUUGUACAGGACUGACCCAUGAACUAUCAGAAAUUGGAUAAAUGAUACCUGUAUCUAAUAGCUUAAGGACUUCAGUUCUAACAACUUCUUUCAUAUUAGGAUUUAACCGACAUUGCAUUUCCCUAGUAGAUUUAGCAUUUUCAUCAAGGUGAAUGUAAUGCAUGCAGUCUACUGGGUUUAUACCUUUUAUGUCCGCUAUGGUCCAUCCUAAUACUCCUUUGUGCUCUUUUAAAACAUCCAACAACUUACCUUUUUGUCCGUCAUUUAGGGAUGAUGAGAUGAUUAUCGGUAGAGUACUUUCUUCUCCCAAAAAUGCAUAUUCCAAUGUGUUGGGCAAUGGUUUGAGCUCGAGUUUUGGUGGUGAUUCUGAUGAUGGGAUGAGUUUCUUCUCUGAUGGUGCUAGUUAUUCAACUCUUGACUUCCAUUUAUUAGUGUCCAUGGAUGGUGCUGAGUCAAGUAGGGCGUUGACCUCAUCGACUGAUCUGUCAAUAUCAAAAUCCAAACCAAAGUGAGUUAAACAUGUUUGUAAAGGAUCAUCACUAAGGUUUGAAAGAAAAGUGUCAUCAACUAUUGUUUCUAUUAAAUCCACAUCAACAAUUCCAUCAUCUGCAUUGUGAGGUUGUUUGACAAUGUUGAAGAUGUUCAGCUCCAUAGUCAUGUUGCCGAAGGACAACUGCAUAUUUCAUGUCCUACAUUGAAUGUGAACAUCCGCAGUUGCCAAGAAAGGUCGGCCUAGAAUAAUGGAGAUGUGCUUCCUUGAAUCCUGUAUUGGUUGAGUGUCAAUUACAAUGAAAUCAACAGGAAAAUAAAACUUGUCUACCUGGAUAAGCACGUCCUCCACAAUACCAUGAGGUAUUUUCGUGGACCAAUCUGCAAGCUGUAACACCACUGGAGUUGGGUGUAAUUCUCCCAGUCCAAGUUUCACAAAUACUGAAUAAGGCAACAAAUUUACACUAGCUCCUAAAUCCAACAAAACAUUCUCAAUUGUGUGGUUCCCUAUACUACAUGAGAUAGUGGGGAAGCCUGGGUCUUUGCAUUUUAAAGGAAUUUUAUGUUGGAGUAUAGAACUAAUAUUUUCUGUUAAAAAUGCAUUCUUUUGAACAUGCAUAUUUCUCUUUUUAGUACAAAGGUCUUUAAGAAACUUGGCAUAAGAUGGAACUUGCUUAAUAGCAUCAAGCAAUGGGAUGUUAACACUUACCUGUUUGAAGAUUUCAAGAAUCUCACCUGUGGAUUUUCCCUUAUUUCCUUUAGCUAACCUUUGAGGAAAUGGAGCUUUAGGAAUGUAUUCCCGUGGGUUGGUUUCUUCUUUCUCCUCCGGUGAUGAGUCCUCAACAUUCACAGGUACAAUUUGAUUUUCUCUUGUCACCGGCAUCUCCACUUUGUUGUCGACUUCUUUUCCUUUUCGCAAGGUCAUGACUGCUUUGACUUCUCCAUGCUGCUGUGGUGAGCUGGUACUUGCUUCAUGUACUCCUUUAGGAUUAGGCACUGGUUGACUUGGAAACUUGCCUUUGUCAACAGUCAUUGCCAAGGUCUGAACUGAAGAAGCAAGCUGUCCCACCAUCUUCUCGAGGCUUGAAACUGAUUGGGCUUGUGAAUUGAAGCUUGCUCUCAACUCAUUUCGUAGUCCAUCAAUGGUGCGGUUCUGUUGCUCAAUCGUGGAGUGAGUAACAUUCUUGAAAUUUUGGAAUGCAUCCUCCCAUGAUCUGGGUUGAGAGUAGUUCUGGUUCUGAUUGUAUGGUCUAAAUGGGGGCUGAGAGGCUUGAGGAAUUUGAGGAAUUGGUUGCAUUGGUGGAGCUGGAGCUGCUGGUCCAUUCUGUUGGAGUCCUUGAGACCAUGAAAAAUUGGGGUGGUCUCUCCAUUCAGGGUUAUAUGUGUUGGAGUAUGGGUUGUAAUUUGAUGGCUUUCUCAUUACACCUAUGGCAUUGGCUUGAUCUGAGUAUGAGUCAGGGUCAUGUGGCUCUGUUGAUUUAGCAGUCGAUAACGAUGCUAUUUGUCGAGCAAGACCUUUAACCAUCUCCUUGACUUCUUUGAUUCCCGAAGUUGACUCGCCAAUUUGAACCUCAUUUACUCCCUUAAUUCUUCUAGUAUUCCUGAGUGAUCGACUCCGUUGUUGGGAAUUAUCCGCUUGUCCCUGGAAGAAUUCCCAAAUCUCUGAUGCACUUUUUGACAUUAGCUCUCCUCCACUUGUUGCCAUUAGCCAUUCUUCCACAUUCGGCAAUAAUUCCUCCAAAAAGUAUUGGCAUUGGUGCCAUUUCUCGUACCCAUGAUGUAGACACUUCAAGAGUAGCCCAUUGAAUCGCUCCCAUGUUUCGAAAAAUUGCUCGUCCUCUCUCUGUGUAAACUCUGAAAUUUCCCUGCGAAUAGCAUUGGUUUUAUGCACUAGGAAAUAUUUAUUCAAAAAUUUUGUUACCAUUUGUUCCCAUGAUGAAAUGCUAUUAGCAGGUAAAGUAUUUAACCAUGAACGAGCUCUAUCCUUUAAAGAAAAUGGGAAUAAUCUGAGUUUAACAUCAUCGUCUGAAAAAUUUUCAUAUUUAAAAGUUUGACAAAUGGCAUGAAAAUCAUUCAGAUGAUUAUAUGGGUCCUCAUUUUCUAGGCCAUAGAAUGUUGGGAGACAAUUUAGCACACUAGGUUUUAAUUCAAAACUCCUAGCAGCUACAUUUGGGUAUCUUAUACAUGAUGUGCUCAAAUUAGCUAAGGGACUGAAAUAAUCCUUAAAUGGCCUCUCCUGUGGUGCUUGUAAAUCCAUUCCAAAUUUAUUUUUAAUGUGCUUGUGUGUGCGGAGUGUUUUUUCUAAUUCAAGGUCUAUAGGUUCAAGAUUAGGUAAUAAUGACCUACGACCAUGCAUGCAAAACAAAUAAAAUAAAAAUAAAGAUGGGAACAAAACAAAUAAAAAUAAAUAAGAGGGAGAAAUUACGAUACUAACCUUAUCGCGAUGUUACAACCUUUCUAUAAAAACACACUAAAACAAAUACGUGAAAUAAAUUAACUAAGAAUAAAUUAAUAAGAUAAAAAAAAUUUACAAAGAAAAAUAAAUUGAAAAUUAAAUUACAGAAUUUUAAAGAAGAGAAAAAGAAAAGAAAUAUUAACCUUUAAAUGUAGAUUCACUUUUUUUUUCUUUUUUUUAAUAAAAAAAUUACAAGAAAAUAAUUAAAAGAAAUUAAUCACAAAAAUUAAUUCUAUGAAUUAAAAUUACUUACCUCCCCGGCAACGGCGCCAAAAACUUCUUGUGCAAAUUUUAAUGAACUCGCAAGUGCACGAAUCUAUUGUAGUAUAGAUCAAUGGUGACGAGUGUCGAUCCCACGAGGAGGUAUAUUUUAAUUAUAUGUAGAAUUAAUUUUGUAAAUGGGUGGUUGGAAUUGUGGUAGAAGUGAUUUAAAUUAUCCUAAAAUUGGAAUUGAAAUGGCGAUAAUAAAUUCUAAAAUUAGAAUUGCAAUGGCGAGAAUAAAUUGAAGCGAAAUCUAUUGAAAUGACGUACUUGGGUAUCUGGAUCCGUAUCAACAUGCACCAUGGGCUAAAUAUUCCUUAUUAAUACCAAUUAAAUCAUGAGGGGGGAAUCCACACCUCAUGAACCACACUCUAAUCAAUAUGGUGCUAAGGGCUUAUCGUGCCAAAUAAUAAUAACGUUGUACUAGGGGGCCGGUGAAACCAAGGCGGUACUAGACAAGAUUAGUAUCAUUUGUCGACGAGAAGUCAAAACAUCCACAAAAAUUAGAGGGGAAGAGAAAAUGAAUUUACCAAAUAAAGCCUAUGACACAUGUUGAGACUUCACCUUCAACCCAAGCUUGAAAGAAAAUUAGCUACUCAUAAUUGAACUAGGGGCAAAAUGGAAAUUUAUUAAAAUAUGAAGAAAAUACAAGAUGGAGAAGGAAUUACAGAAAAUGGAUCCCAAAAAUGGAUUCAGAGAUAACAAAUUAGGGGGGGAGGCCCCCUUUUUAUAGAUACAUGGAGUAAAUCAUGGUCAUCGGAUUAAAAACAGUUUGGACGCUCAGGAUUGUGCCACGUCAUCAGUCAACAGUACGCGGUUUGACCACUUGGAUGAACAGUAACACGGUUUGACCCAGGUUGAACAGUAACGCAGUUUGGUUGAAAAUAAUCCUGUGUGAUGCAUGUACCGUACGCGAGAUUUUUUGUCCACUGAUAUGCUGCCACGUCACCAUCAACAGUACAUAAGAAUUUUAGUCCAACAGGAUCAUGAAACCUCAUCAGUCAAUGCCACAUCAUCGGUCAAUGCCACGUCAUCGAUCCGUCUAUGUGAACAGUGUCGUGAACAGUAACUUAUACAGUACCGCACACGUGAAUAGUACCGUACAUGUGAAUAGUGUCAUUUUUCCUUUUAUGCUCCUCCUAAGGUUUUCGACCAUCCUGAGUUCAAAAGUGAUGUCCGUUUUACCGUCUGAUCUCUCCUUUAUUGUGAAAUGACUAUAAUGCCCCUAAAAUACAUAAAUACUUAAUUAAAAUAAAACACAUGUAAUUAAAUUACAAGAAUGUUAAAUACAUAAAAGUAAAGGUUGUUAGUAAGACUUGAAAUGUAAAAUGACGGGUUUCUCCUUUAUAAAUAUGCAUUUUCUAACACUCAACACCUCUUUCGUCCUAGGUUUUCAAUAAUGGGAGCAAUCGCCUCCAUAAAUUACAUAGAAAUAAUUAUUAUUAGCUUUAAUUUAUUUUAAAUAAUAUGAAAAGGAAAAGAAGUUGAUAAAUAUUUUUUAUUUGUGUCUUAUCUAUUCAUGUCACCGUGACAAAUCUUUAGGGAAUCUUUUUAGUCAUUAAUUAAGCUUUGUUCAAUUGCUUCGUUUUUCAGCUCGCUUUGACUAAAUCAAAGGAACUACAUGGUCAUAAAGCACUUAAGUAUAAUAGCUCAAAGAUUAUCUGCUACCCGCAAAGCUAAUUAAAUUAAUAUGACUCUCCAAGUCAACAGGGCGGAUUUUUCUUUUUCUGCUGUGCAUAUAUUUAGCCAUCUCCUUCACCACAGCGAAAGUGUUUUUUUUUUAAUUUUUUAAAAACUUUUUUCCUAGUGAUGAAGGUUGAAAUUAAGUUAUUAAAUAAAAUAGAAGAGCUUAAGGAAAUUAACAAGAAUGUGCUUAAUCGAUCAAGUAGACGGUUAAUUUAUAAAAAAAAAUGCUCUGUGUGAUUAUCUGAAAAUUGCAGAAACGCUAUCAGUUUGUCAUUUCUAUUAACUUUCUUUCUCUGCAGCAAAAUAAUUAAGCAUUGGAAGUAUGCAUAUAAAUAAGGAGGCAGCAAGGUUAUUGGAUUUUUUUAAGGCAAUGAAUGAAGUCAGUCCCUGCACUAACUACUUGGCUGAUGCCUUAGUAAUUAAUUGCUCAACAUUAUGAUGUAGUUACUGGGAAUAAACUGUAUUUCUUUAGUAUUUGUAAGGAAAUAAACUACAACUUCCUUUCUUUAGUAUUUGUAAGGAAAUAAACUACAACUUCCUUGUUCACUAAUUUUUCUUUGAAAUAACUGAGUUUACUUAUAAAUAGUGUAUGAAUAUUUUUUCUUUAGAACAAAAUAGAUUUAUUUAUAUUAACCAUUGUUUCUCUAAUGGUUGGGAAUUGGCAGCUAAUUUUUUCUCCCUUUUCCAUGUAUGCAGAUUUGCUCAAUGUGUUUGAAGUGUUUAUUCCUCAACUUCACUUGUAUCCUAACCCAUACAGUCUAUUGAAUGGAGAAGCUGCUGGUGUGAUAACGCAAUUAUACUACUCAUAUUCAAAGAGUGAAAGACAGUCAUCAUUAUCAAUUUAGCUUCUAGAUUUAUUAAAUUUGGCCACAAGUAGUAGACAUUUGAUUGGAUGGUGAAAUUUUUAUGUAUUGAAUUUAGAUUAUUUAGUUAUGAGAGUAGGAUAUCUCAUUUUUUGGCUAUUGAAGUUGAAUUUGUAAUAUAUACUAAUAAUAUUUAAAUGUGAAAUGAAAGAUUUUGUGAUAUAAAUCAAUUUCUUUUUGUUAUUUUGUGGUGCUUUUAAUUUUACCAAUAAAUCAAUAGGCAAUGAUCCAAUUCAAUUUUUUAAAAAAAAUAAAUUAACUAGUGAUACCAUAGUAACAAUAAUUAUAGACACAAAAAAAAUAUCAAUAAUUACUAACACUAUGCUAUCAUAAUAUUGGUGAUAUUGUAGUAAUAGUAAUCACUGACACCACUUACAAGUGUCACUAUUUUUCUGACUCCCAGAUUACUGACACAAUUAACAAGUGUCAGUGAAAGUAAUUUCUGACACUAUUCUAAAGUCAGUAAAGACUGUUUUUCUAGUAAUGAGGUCUCACGUAUCGUUUUAUUUUUUUUCUGACAACCGAUCAUCAGAGAGAGAGCAGAGAACAUUAAAGGAUUUUUUAAGAGAAUAUGUUGAUCUGGAAGGCUAACCACACUAUUCUAAAAAGCAAUUAAGCAUUAUGGAUCCAGAUAUACUUCUACAUAUCAUAUUAUUGAUUCUUGUUGAUAUAACAUUAAUGUUCCUAGACUAUAGGUAAUCAUUUUAAGUAUAGGAUUAUUAUCGUUCUAAUAUUUUCUUGUGAAGAGCUUUACUGGGUAUUCUUCCAACAUCUUAUAAUUUAUUUAAAAGGAAGGUAAUGCAAUCUCAUAUUUGUCAAAGGUCCAAUAGAGUGUAGGAGGAUAGCUUCCAUGCUUUAGUGGCAUGUAGAGUUGUUAAGAAGGUAUGGCGAUUAUCAAUCUUGGCAAAUUUUGCGAUUAGUUUUGAAAGCACCAAUUUCUCAUGCUUUGCUCAAUCAUUGGCUGAUUAAAUGUCUAAGGAGAAUUUUGAGUCUUUUGUGGUCUUGCCUUGCUCAAUUUGGAGGGACAAAAACUUGAUUCUUCACAAUGAUGUGGGAAAUGACAUUUUGAGCUUGAUAAUCAGAGCUGAAUCUAUUAUUGAGAACUAUAAGUUAGUGCAACAAUCUCUAGCGACCGUGCCUUCUAUGAAUUAGAAUUAUAAGGAAGAAAAAUAGGUUGCUCCACCAAAUAAUCGGUAGAAACUUAAUACUGAUGCAGCUAUUAAAUCUUUAGAAAGUAUUUCUAGCCUUGGUACUAUUAUUAAAAACUCAAGAGGAGAAGUUAUGGUAGCAUCAGUCAAUAUAAAGUCCUUUUUUUGUAGGGAUGUGGAAUUUGCAAAAGCUUAUGCAGUUGUUCAGGGGGUUAAGCUAGCAAUUGACUUAGGUUUAACUCCCUUGAUUGUUAAACUUGAUUCAGUAAAUGUUGUUACUUUGAUUAAUGGAAGUUUGUCUAGCAAAAAAAAAGAGAUUGGCUGGCUAGUAUGGGAGAUCAAAGGUCUUAUAAUUAAUAGAGCUGCCAUUAAAGUUAAAUUGGUUGGCUAUUAUAGGAGAUCAAGGGUCCUAUAUAGAGCUUCCAUUAUAGUUAAACAUGCACCUAGAUGUUAUAAUGAGGUGGCUCACAUUUUAAGCAAAUUGGAAUUUUCUUUUCCAAAGUUAGCAUAUUAGAAUAGAAGAUUGUCUUGUUGAAAUUGUCAGUCUCUUGUGAUGUUUUGUUAUUCAACAUGUAGUCAGCUUUUCAAAAAGCAAAAAAAUGGCAGUACAAAUAAAGUCCACAUAGUACAUGUUGCUUAAUGCGCACUAAUUCUACAAUCUUGAUUAUGAGUAAUUUAUCUGUCACCAUUUGCAAUAUGGCCAUCAAAACCCAUUUAUAAAUCGAGGCCAGUAAUAGAUUGUCAUCACAACUGGGGAGAAAGCUACGAUUCAUCCAAAUGGAUCCAACGGCUGGAUGCAACGGUGAUACCGUAUCACCGUUGCACUGUAGUCGGACCCCACAACUGGACCCAUGAUGAUGAUAACAAUAAAUAAUAAAUAAUUUUUAAUUUUUUUGUUAUUUAAUAGGUUAGCUUUUAGGUCAAAAUGAUGGAAGGCGCCCAUUGGGUACCGUAUUCAGGGGUGGGUAAAUUAUUUGACCUGACUUAAAAUAUUUCGGGUUUAGAUCGGAUCGAAUUGUAAAAAAAAUCCGAUCGGAUGAAAACGGUAAAACCCGAUCAGGUUCUUUAAAAAAAAAAAUAAACACAUACACGCACGCCAGACAGAGUCACACAAAAUACAAAUCACACUUACAAAUUCAUUUACAAUACACACACAACACAAAUCUCACACACAACACAAAUCACACUCACAGAUUCAUUUACAAUCCACACACAAACACAAGUCAGUGAAAUCACAGUGAUUCAUUUACAAAUCACACAAAAUACAAAUCACACUUACAAAUUCAUUUACUUGAGAUCGUAUUAUUUCUAAGCUGAGGGCAUAUUUAUUUCAUCUUGGUGAGAGCAUGUGAUAUCAUUUCUUUAUUAUUUUCUCUCUCAAUUACCAUUCAUUGGAGUGACUGUGUUUAUUGGGUUUUGAUUUCUUUGUGAGAGUGUCACUACUUCCAGUGAGAUUUUGGGGUUUGACAUGUCAUUCUUGAAAGUAGCUAUAACAAAGUCUACUAGGCCGAUUCAUGUGGAUGGUUGAUGUGGGUGUGAUAUUGCUUUAGACUGGAGAUAAUGCUUAUACUUUUAUUUGAUUGCUAUCAUUAAUCUGAUUGAAUAAACACGAGUGUUUCUAAAAAUAUAUAUAUAUAUAUAUAUAUAUAUUGAAUUUGAAUUUUGUUUUCGCUUUAUUUGCUAGGGACUAGCAAUAAGCUGGUUGGGGGGUGUGUUGAGUGUUAGAAAAUACAUAUUUAUAAAAGGAGAAAACCGUCAUUUUACAUUUCAAGUCUUACUAACAACCCUUACUUUUAUGUAUUUAACCUUCUUGUGAUGUAAUUACGUGUGUGUUAUUUUAAUUAAGUAUUUUAUGUAUUUGAGGGGCAUUAUAGUCAUUUCACAAUAAAAGAGAAAUCAUACGGCAAAACGGACAUCACUUUUGAACUCAGGACGGUCAAAAACCUUAGGAGGAGCAUAAAAGGAAAAAUGGCACUAUUCACAUGUACGGUACUAUUCACGUAUACGGUACUGUCUACGUUACUGUUCACGACACUGUUCACAUAGACGGAUCGACGACGUGGCAUUGACCGAUGAUGUGGCAUUGACUGAUGGGUGUCAUGAUCCUGUUGGACUAAAAUUCUUAUGUACUGUUGACGGUGACGUGGCAGCAUAUCAGUGAACGAAAAAUCUCGCGUACGGUGCAUGCAUCACACAGGAUUAUUUUCAACCCAACCGUGUUACUGUUCAUCUGGGUCAAACCGUGUUACUGUUCAUCCACGUGGUCAAACCGUAGACUGUUGACUGAUGACGUGGCGCAAUCCUGAGCGUCCAAACUGUUUUUAAUCCGAUGGCCAUGAUUUACUCCAUGUAUCUAUAAAAAGGGGGCCUCCCCCCCCCCCUAAUUUGAUAUCUCUUAAUCCAUUUUUGGGAUCCAUUUUCUGUAAUUCCCUCUCCAUCUUGUAUUUUCUUUGUAUUUUAAUAAAUUCCCAUUUUGCCCCUAGUUCAAUUAUGAGUAACUAAUUUUCUUUCAAGCUUGGGUUGAAGGUGAAGUCUCAACAUGUGUCAUGGGCUUAAUUUGGUAAAUUUAUUUUCUCUUCCCCUCUAGUUUUUGUGGAUGUUUUGACUUCUCGUCGACAAAUAAUAAUAAUCUUGUCUAGAUACCGCCUUGGUUACACCGGCUCUCUAGUAUAAGGUUAUUAUUAUUUGGCACGAUAAGCCCUUAGCACCAUAUUGAUUAGAGCGUGGUUCAUGAGGUGUGGAUUCCCCCCUCAUGAUUUAAUUGGCAUUAAUACAGAUUAUUUAGCCCAUGAUGCAUGUUGAUACGGAUCCAGAUACCCAAGUACGUCAAUUUAAUCGAUUUUCUCUACAAUUUAUUCUCGCCAUUGCAAUUCCAAUUUUAGCAUAUUUAUUAUCGUCAUUUCAAUUCCAAUUUUAGCAUAUUUUAAAUCACUUCCACCACAAUUCCAACCACCCAUUUACAGAAUUAAUUCUACACACAAUUAAAAAUCCAUCUCCUCGUGGGAUCGACACUCGUCACCAUUGAUCUAUACUACAAUAGAUUCGUGCACUUGCGAGUACAUUAAAAUUUGCACAACAAGUUUUUGGCGCCGUUGCCGGGGAGGUAAGUAAUUUUAAUUCAUAGAUUUAAUUUUUGUGAAUAAUUUCAUUUAAUUGUUUUCUUGUAUUUUUUUUUUUUUGUUCUUUAAAAAAAAAAAAAAGUAAAUCUACAUUUAAAGGUUAGUAUUUCUUUUCUUUUUCUCUUCUUUAAAAUUCUGUAAUUUAUUUUUCAAUUUAUUUUUUUCUUUGUAAUUUUUGUUUAUCUUACUAAUUUUUUUUAGUUAAUUUAUUUCAUGUAUUUUUUGUUUUUGUGUGUAUUUUUAUAGUAAGGUUGUAAUAGCGCAAUAAGGUUAGUAUUGUAAUUUCUCUCUCUUCUUUAUUUUUAUUUGUUUUGUUCCAUCUUUAUUUUUAUUUUAUUUAUUUUGCAUGCAUGGUCGUAGGUCAUUAUUAUCUAAUCUUGAACCUAUAGACCUUGAACUUGAGAAAACACUUCGCACACAAAAGCACAAUAAAAAUAAAGUUGGAAUGGAUUUACAAGCACCACAGGAGAGGCCAUUUAAGGACUAUUUUAGUCCCUUAGCUAAUUUGAGCACAUCAUGUAUUAGAUACCCAAAUGUAGCUGCUAGGAGUUUUGAAUUAAAACCUAGUGUGCUAAAUUGUCUCCCCACAUUCUAUGGCUUAGAAAAUGAGGACCCAUAUAAUCAUCUGAAUGAUUUUCAUGCAAUUUGUCAAACUUUUAAAUAUGAAAAUUUUUCAGACGAUGAUGUUAAACUUAGAUUAUUCCCAUUUUCUUUAAAGGAUAGAGCUCGUCCAUGGUUAAAUACUUUGCCUGCUAAUAGCAUUGCAUCAUGGGAACAAAUGGUUACAAAAUUUCUAAAUAAAUAUUUCCCAGUGCAUAAAACCAAUUCUAUUCGCAGGGAAAUUUCAGAGUUUACACAAAGAGAGGACGAGCAGUUUUUCGAAACUUGGGAGCGAUUCAAUGGGCUACUCUUGAAGUGUCCACAUCAUGGGUAUGAGAAAUGGCACCAAUGCCAAUACUUUUUGGAGGGAUUAUUGCCGAAUGUGCAAGAAUGGCUAAUGGCAACAAGUGGAGGAGAGCUAAUGUCAAAAAGUGCAUCAGAAAUUUGGGAAUUCUUCCAGCGACAAGCGGAUAAUUCCCAACAACGGAGUCGAUCACUCAGGAAUACUAGAAGAAUUAAGGGAGUAAAUUAGGUUCAAAUUGGCGAGUCAACUUCGGGAAUCAAAGAAGUCAAGGAGAUGGUUGAAGGUCUCGCUCGACAAAUAGCAUCGUUAUCGACUGCUAAAUCAACAGAACCACAUGACCAUGACUCAUACUCCGAUCAAGCCAAUGCCAUAGGUGUAAUGAGAAAACCAUCGAAUUACAACCCAUACUCCAACACAUAUAACCCUGGAUGGAGAGACCACCCUAAUUUUUCAUGGUCUCAAGGAUUCCAACAGAAUGGACCAGCAGCUCCAGCUCCACCAAUGCAACCAAUUCCUCAAAAUCCUCAAGCCUUUCAGCCCCCAUUUAGACCAUACAAUCAGAACUAGAAUUACUCUCAACCCAGACCAUGGGAGGAUUCAUUCCAGAAUCUCAAGAAUCUUACUCACUCCACAAUUGAGCAACAGAACCGCACCAUUGAUGGACUACGAAAUGAGUUGAGAGCAGGCUUCAACUCACAAGCUCAAUCAGUUUCAAGCCUGGAGAAAAUGGUGGGACAACUCACUUCUUCAGUUCAGACCUUGGCAAUGACUGUUGAGAAAGGCAAGUUUCCAAGUCAACCAGUGCCUAAUCCUAAAGGAGUGCAUGAAGCAAGUACCAGUUCACCACAGCAGCAUGGAGAGGUCAAAGCAGUCAUGACCUUGCGAAAAGGAAAAGAAGUCGACAACAAAGUAGAGAUGCCGGUGACCAAAGAAAAUCAAAUUGUACCUGUGAAUGUUGAGGACUCACCACCGGAGGAAAAAGAAGAAACCAACCCACGAGAGUACAUUCCCAAGGCUCCAUUUCCUCAGAGGUUAGCUAAAGGAAAAAAGGGAAAAUCCACAGGUGAGAUUCUCGAAAUCUUCAAACAGGUAAGUGUCAAUAUCCCUUUGCUUGAUGCUAUAAAACAAAUUCCAUCUUAUGCCAAGUUUCUUAAAGACCUUUGUACUAAAAAGAGAAAUAUGCAUGUUCAAAAGAAGGCUUUUUUAACAGAAAACGUUAGUUCUAUACUCCAACAUAAAAUUCCUUUAAAAUGCAAAGACCCAGGCUCCCCCACUAUCUCAUGUAGUAUAGGGAACCACACAAUUGAGAAUGCUUUGUUGGAUUUAGGAGCUAGUGUAAAUCUUUUGCCUUACUCUGUAUUCGUGAAACUUGGACUGGGAGAAUUACACCCAACUCCAGUGGUGUUACAGCUUGCAGAUCGGUCCACGAAAAUACCUCGUGGUAUUGUGGAGGACGUGCUUAUUCAGGUAGACAAGUUUUAUUUUCCUGUUGAUUUCAUUAUAAUUGACACUCAACCAAUACAGGACUCAAGGAAGCACAUCCCCAUUAUUCUAGGCCGACCUUUCUUGGCAACUGCAGAUGCUCAUAUUCAAUGUAGGACCGGAAAUAUGCAAUUGUCAUUCGGCAACAUGACUAUGGAGCUAAAUAUUUUCAACAUUGCCAAACAACCUCACAGUGCAGAUGAUGGAAUUGUUGAUGUGGAUUUAAUAGAAACAAUAGUUGAUAAUACUUUUCUUUCAAACCUUAAUGAUGACCCUUUACAGACAUGCUUAACUCACUUUGGUUUGGAUUUUGAUAUUGACAGAUCGGUUGAUGAGGUCAACGCUCUACUUGACUCAGCACCAUCCAUGGACACUAAUAAAUGGAAGUCAAGAGUUGAACAACUAGCACCAUCAGAGAAGAAACUCAUUCCAUCAUCAGAAUCACCACCGAAACUCGAGCUCAAACCAUUACCCAACACAUUGGAAUAUGCAUUUUUGGGGGAAGAAAGUACUCUGCCGGUAAUCAUCUCAUCAUCCCUUAAUGACGAAUAAAAAGGUAAGUUGUUGGAUGUUUUGAAAGAGCACAAAGGGGCAUUAGGAUGGACCAUAGCAGACAUAAAAGGUAUAAACUCUGCAGAUUGCAUGCAUUACAUUCACCUUGAUGAAAAUGCUAAAUCUACUAGGGAAAUGCAACGUCGGUUAAAUCCUAAUAUGAAAGAAGUUGUUAGAACAGAAGUCCUUAAGCUAUUAGACGCAUGUAUCAUUUACCCAAUUUCUGAUAGUUCAUGGGUCAGUCCUGUACAAGUUGUCCCCAAAAAGUCAGGAGUCACAGUAGUUACCAAUGCUGAUAAUGAAUUGAUACCAACUAGAGUAACUACAUGAUGGCGUGUAUGCAUUGAUUAUAGAAAGUUGAAUUCUGUCACACGUAAAGACCAUUUUCCUUUACCAUUUAUUGAUCAAAUGCUUGAUAGAUUAGCAGGCCAUGAAUUUUAUUGCUUUCUAGAUGGCUAUUCAGGAUAUAAUCAGAUUCCCAUAGCACCAAAAGAUCAAGAGAAAACUACUUUCACUUGCCCUUUUGGCACAUUUACAUAUAGGAGAAUGUCAUUUGGAUUAUGUAAUGCACCUGCUACAUUUCAACGAUGCAUGUUAAGCAUUUUUUCUGAUAUGGUUAAACGAUUCCUUGAAGUCUUCAUGGAUGACUUUUCUGUCUUUUUGAUUCGUUUGAUCAAUGUUUACAUCAUCUAACGCUAGUUCUGCAGAGAUGUACCGAGAAGAACUUAGUCUUGAAUUGGGAGAAGUGCCAUUUUAUGGUAAAACAAGGUAUUGUUCUCAGUCACAUCAUUUCGAGCAAAGGUAUUGAGGUUGACAAAGCCAAGGUGGAUCUCAUUUCUAAUCUUCCUCCACCUAAAACAGUUAGAGAAGUAAGAUCUUUCAUUGGGCAUGUUGGUUUCUAUAGACGUUUCAUUAAAAAUUUUAGCAAAGUUUCUAGACCCUUAUGCAAUUUACUUGCUAAGGAUGUACCUUUUAUCUUUAAUGAUUCAUGUCUUAUGGCUUUUGAAAAAUUAAAACAAUUGUUGACAUCACCACCCAUCAUUCAGGCCCCAAACUGGAGCUUACCAUUUGAGCUCAUAUGUGAUGCAUCUGAUUAUGCAGUAGGAGCAGUAUUAGGACAAAGAGUUGAUCGAAUUCCCCAUGUUAUUUACUAUGCUAGUAUGACAUUGAAUGAUGCACAGUUGAACUAUUCAACUACUGAAAAAGAAAUGCUAGCAGUAGUGUUUGCAUUGGAAAAAUUUCGAUCUUAUCUCAUUGGUUGUAAAAUAAUUAUAUUCACAGAUCAUGCUGCUCUUAAAUAUCUUCUCACAAAGAAAGAUGCAAAAGCUAGACUAAUUCGUUGGGUGUUACUUUUGCAGGAAUUCGACUUGGAAUUCAAGGAUAAGAAAGGCACAGAAAAUGUUGUGGCGGACCACCUCUCUCGUCUCCAUUUUGACACAAUUACAGAGCCAUUAAUAUUAAAUGAGUCAUUUCCAGAUGAACAAUUAAUGAGUGUGGAAGUAUUACCUUAGUAUGCUGAUAUAGUUAAUUAUCUUGUUACAGGUAAAUUUCCAGAGCAUUGGACCAAGCAAGACAAGGCUAAAUUCUUUGCGGAAAUAAAGAAUUUCUUUUGGGAUGACCCAUAUUUGUUCAAGUAUUGUGCAGACCAAAUUGUUAGACGAUGUGUCCCUGAAAGUGAAAUUCAGAAUAUCCUUUCAUUCUGCCAUGAACAAGCUUGUGGAGGCCAUUUCAGUGCUAAGAAAACAGCGACUAAAGUUUUACAAUGUGGUUUCUAUUGGCCAAUUAUAUUUCGAGAUGCUUACACUUUCUGUUCUUCAUGUGAUAGGUGUCAACGAAUGGGGAGUAUUAAACGAAGGAACAUGAUGCCACUAAAUCCAAUUUUAGUGGUUGAGAUUUUUGACGUAUGGGGUAUCGACUUCAUGGGACCCUUUCCCUCUUCUUUUGGCCAUCAAUACAUAUUGGUUGGUGUUGACUACGUUUCAAAAUGGGUAGAAGCAAUUCCAUGUAGAACCAAUGAUCACAAAGUGGUGAUAGGAUUUUUGAAAAGCAACAUUGUCUCACGCUUUGGAUUCCCUCGAGCAAUAAUCAAUGAUGGUGGUGCCCACUUUUGUAACAAAGCAUUCAAAGCUCUUUUGACAAAGUAUUCAAUCACCCACAAAGUGGCGACCCCUUAUCAUCCGCAAACCAGUGGCCAAGUUGAGAUCUCCAAUCGAGAAAUAAAGCACAUAUUAGAAAAAACGGUGAGGCCAGACAGAAAAGAUUGGUCAUUAAGACUUGAUGAUGCAUUAUGGGCAUAUAGAACGGCUUUCAAGACCCCGAUUGGGAUGUCACCCUAUAGGCUAGUGUAUGGAAAGCUUGCCACCUACCUGUGGAACUCGAGCAUCGUGCAUAUUGGGCCAUCAAGAAAUUCAACUUUGACAUGCAGCAAGCCAGCUCAGAAAGAAGAUUACAACUGGUAGAACUUGAAGAAAUUCGCAAUGAUGCAUACGAAAAUGCCAAGAUUUACAAGCAACGAAUGAAAGUCUUUCAUGACAAGCACAUUAUGAGAAAAUUGUUCACUCCAGGUCAGAAAGUGCUUUUAUUCCAUUCUCGUUUGCACUUAUUCCCAGGUAAGUUACGCUCUCGAUGGUCUGGUUCCUUUAUUGUUCAUACUGUUUUUCCACAUGGGGCAAUUGAAAUUAAGAACCCAAAGAACGGUGUCACGUUUAAAGUUAAUGGUCAAAGAUUAAAGCCAUAUCUAGAAUACCAACCACAUGGAGAAGACACCGAAAUAAAUUUGAGUGACCCACCAGAUUUGAAUUGAUUUGUUUUUUUCUUUUCGUUGAUUUGAUUUUUCUUUCUUUCUUUUUAUUAUUCUUUUGCUAAUUGAAAUUAUUUUUGCAUAAGUGUGUUUGUCUAACUAUUAAGUUUUCUCUUAUCAUUUUUAAUCAUGAGUACCUUACUUAGACCGUUCCUCCUGAACAUUCUUAAACCACUUCAACGUGUCAAAACUCAUCUCAAAAGGCAGAUUCAAUUUUGUAAAACACAUCGCAUUUGGGCUCUACAACCACCAGAGUUAGUAGCCUAUGUUGAGGGUUUAGAACGCCAACUCAGAGAUAUUGAGAGAAGUGUUUACGACAUCCAGUUGGAACUUGAGGUAAAUUCAAUAAGAGGACGAUUUUAAUUUUCUUUGUGUGUUUUGAUUUAUUUUUCUGUUUGUGUGAUUUAGUUUGUUACCCUGGUGAAGUGGCGGAUAACGGUACUCCGUGACAAUCAAGUCGGAUACUUCAGUUUCCCAUAAUAACUGACAUUCUGAGGUGAAAGUAUGGACAGAAACGAGAUUCUAGCGAAGCUUCACAAGCGAUUCCCUUCACUUCCUCAGAAUGCCCUCUUUACGAUCUAUAAAGCUCGGUCUGAAUGCAUGCGAUUACUCAUGAAGAAUAACAUACCUGCUGACAUCUGUUGGUUAAUCGAGGCUAAAGUACGAUCGGCAGGUGAGUUACCUCCAAAAUUUAUUGCAUUCAUGCCUGGUUGUGGUAAAGGAAAUUAUGCAAGAAAACGACGAGCUCGAAGAAUUUCUGUUGCUUGUCAUAAGUGUGCCAGAAUGAGUUGCGAUAGAAACCCAUGUUCUUUAGGAAUGGUGUCUGAUAACAGGGAAGAUAAGAUUCAAUUCAUUAGGGAUGGCUUGAAUAAGGAGUCAUUGGAUGAUAUUCUUUUGUCUCUUGAAACGCAUCCCAGUGGAUAUGUGCAAGGAGCGAUUCUCCAGUUGUGGCCAUUAUUCCAGGAAGAGCAUGCACGAUAUAGUCUCGGGAAUCUGACUAUAAACGACCAUGUUUGCCAGUUUAUAAGAAAACUGGAUAGGAAGCCUAUCCUCGACCCAUAGAGGGCGUUCAAGCCGUUUCUGGACGUAAAACUAGAGGAAGAUGUGAGCCACAGUCGCAAUUACGUGUAAAUAUCAUUUUACUUUACUGUUAUUUUAUUUCAUUUCACUGUUGUUUUAUUGUUUGCAUUAUUGUAUUUAAUAAUUUUAUUACUGUUUGCUUUUUCCUUUUUACUGUUUCCUUUUUGACUCGCAAGCCAUGUGCUUCACGCGUUAUUUCACACUGACAUCUUACCUCAUUCACAGCUGUGACCCACUAUCACCAAGAUUCUUAAAUGUGAUUUAUCUUUUGUCAAGCACUCACAAAUUGUUUUUGAGAAGUAUCACAAUGGCAGCUACUCCCAAUAGACAAUUCAAAAACAUUUGUGUGCUUUCUGGAUUUACCUAUGGCAAACAUAAAGAGUUCGUGGAGGCAGCCAUAGAUCUUGGUCGAAGCAUAGCAGCGAGAAAAUUACAUUUGGUGUAUGGAGGAGGUAACCGAGGGUUAUCAAAAAUGGUCUCGGAAGCAGCUUUUAUCAGAGGAAGUCAAGUGUUAAGCAUCAUCCCAAGAGUCCUAAAACCAUUGGGCAGUUCGUCUGACUCAUCAACUGGAGAAGAGUUAGUCGUCUCAGGUAUGCAAGAAAGAAUAACUGAAAUGCUUAAUCAUGCUGAUGCUUUUAUUUUCCUUCCAGGAGAUCUUGCAACACUAGAGGCACUUAUGACACUAGCAUCUUGGGCCCAUCUACACAUUCACCAGAAACCCAUCGGUUUGUUAAAUGUCAAUAACUUUUAUGAUGGCUUUAUCGCAUUUCUUAACCAUGCAAUAAAAAACUAUUUCAUUCCUUCUAAUGUGAAAAAACUCUUUAUUUGUGCUCACACUGCUAAUGAGCUACUUGAUAUGUUACAAGCUUAUAAACCGAAGCCAGACCCCUGGACCUUUGUGUUGGAGCGACCAAAUAAUGAUGGUAACAGUAGCCGCAGUAAGAAGUACAAAUUAGAUUUAACUCUCCGCCUGUAAAUAUUUUCUUCUGUGUUGCACCACCCAGGUGAUGUCUUCUAAACUCUACUUCUUUCCUUUAAAACAUUGAGGACAAUGUUUCGUUCUAGUUGGGGGGAGAGAAUAGUCGACAAUUGUGGAAUCUUAGUUAAGUUUUUACUGAUUUUUUGUUGUAGAAACUAACUGUUGCUAACGUUUUGUGUUGAAGAUGGCUGAAUAUGGAGUGUAGUGACUCUAGAAACGUAUCUUCAUCGUUUUAAAAAAAAAUUAAAAAAAAAAAUUCAAACAUUUUCUUUUUCUUUAUUAUGUGUUUAUGUUUAUUUUUCUUCUUUUUAAUUUCUCCUCUAUAAAUAUACAUUUUCCAACUUUUGAGUCGAAGAUGGCUGAAUAUGGAGUGUAGUUCCUCUAGAAACGCAUCUUCUUAAAAAAAAAAAAAAUCAUUUUCGUUUUCUAUCAUUUUACGUGUAACUUUUCUAAUUAGUUUUUAUGCAUCAUUUUCACAUUUCUGCAUGCAUAUUUUCAUUUCAUGUUUAGAAUAGGUUGGGGGAUAGAAUGUUGUUUAAAAAAAAAAAAAAUUGUGUUAUUUGUUUUAACAUUGGAUGACAUGAUUAAUUUCAAAUUUUAGUAUUUGUAUUAUCUUUGGUCUUAAGUGAUGUUACGCUAUGUUUGCUACUUUACAUGUUGAUGUCGGAGACAAAUAUGAGUUGCUUGAAGGAAUGAACAUGUCAUAAAUAAGUGCCAAGUGAGUUGUUGAGCCUAUCAUUUUCUUGGAGAGUAACCCUUUUGCCCAUUCUCUAUACAGCUUAGUAGUUUAUUAUUUUAUACACGAUCUCUAGAUUUCUUUUGAGUUAACCCUUUAAAAAAAAUGGUAAAAUUAAAAAAAAAAAUGUGUGUUGCUACAUUGGGAGGCCCAUCUAACCAGUAGAUAUGGAUAAUUAUUUAGAGCCCUAAAAGACGAUGGAAAGGCCAUCUUUGAUCCGUUUGAGCCUUUCUAGCCAUCCCUUUUAUUAAAUAUCCAUAGUUACCCCUUUUGAGCCUUUAAAAAAAAAAAAAAAAAACAUUUUCUUUGUCAACUUAUCAUCUUGACCCACUCCGAUUUGGAGUAUUACCCGAUGUCUUAUAAGUUCCAUCACCUAUUUAUGUUUGAGAAAAUGUAAAUAAUUAUGUUGUUCAGUGAAGUUAUGCCAAAUAAAAGCCAAAAAAAAAAACAAAAAAAACAAAAAAACAAAAGUUGUUGUUUCAAAAGAAUAAAAUAACAAUAAUAGGUGAAAUCCACCUUGCAACUUCAAAAAAAAAAAAUAUAUAUUUCUGCUUUUUUCUCAAACAUACACUUUGUUUCCUUAUUUCCUUUCUUUGUUAGCCAUAUCCCUAGCCUACGUUACGUCCUAAUAAAAGUCCUUCUUGAUUUUAGGGAACUAUAGUUUGAAGUAGAAGCUAGUUAUAUGGGCUAAAAAGAUGUAGUGAUGCAUAAUAAAAAAAGAAAAAAGAUAAAUAAAGUGGGUUGACUAACAUUUUAUUUGACUUGAGAUCGUAUUAUUUCUAAGCUGAGGGCAUAUUUAUUUCAUCUUGGUGAGAGCAUGUGAUAUCAUUUCUUUAUUAUUUUCUCUCUCAAUUACCAUUCAUUGGAGUGACUAUGUUUAUUGGGUUUUGAUUUCUUUGUGAGAGUGUCACUACUUCCAGUGAGAUUUUGGGGUUUGACAUGUCAUUCUUGAAAGUAGCUAUAACAAAGUCUACUGGGCCGAUUCAUGUGGAUGGUUGAUGUGGGUGUGAUAUUGCUUUAGACUGGAGAUAAUGCUUAUACUUUUAUUUGAUUGCUAUCAUUAAUCUGAUUGAAUAAACACGAGUGUUUCUAAAAAUAUAUAUAUAUAUAUAUUUUGAAUUUGAAUUUUGUUUUCGCUUUAUUUGCUAGGGACUAGCAAUAAGCUGGUUGGGGGGUGUGUUGAGUGUUAGAAAAUACAUAUUUAUAAAAGGAGAAAACCGUCAUUUUACAUUUCAAGUCUUACUAACAGCCCUUACUUUUAUAUAUUUAACCUUCUUGUGAUGUAAUUACGUGUGUGUUAUUUUAAUUAAGUAUUUUAUGUAUUUGAGGGGCAUUAUAGUCAUUUCACAAUAAAGGAGAAAUCAUACGGCAAAACGGACAUCACUUUUGAACUCAGGACGGUCGAAAACCUUAGGAGGAGCAUAAAAGGAAAAAUGGCACUAUUCACAUGUACGGUACUAUUCACGUAUACGGUACUGUCUACGUUACUGUUCACGACACUGUUCACAUACACGGAUCGAUGACGUGGCAUUGACCGAUGAUGUGGCAUUGACUGAUGAGGUGUCACGAUCCUGUUGGACUAAAAUUCUUAUGUACUGUUGACGGUGACGUGGCAGCAUAUCAGUGGACGAAAAAUCUCGCGUACGGUGCAUGCAUCACACAGGAUUAUUUUCAACCCAACCGUGUUACUGUUCAUCCAGGUCAAACCAUGUUACUGUUCAUCCACGUGGUCAAACCGUGGACUGUUGACUGAUGACGUGGCGCAAUCCUGAGCGUCCAAACUAUUUUUAAUCCGAUGGCCAUGAUUUACUCCAUGUAUCUAUAAAAAGGGGGCCUCCCCCCCCCCUAAUUUGAUAUCUCUUAAUCCAUUUUUGGGAUCCAUUUUCUGUAAUUCCCUCUCCAUCUUGUAUUUUCUUUGUAUUUUAAUAAAUUCCCAUUUUGCCCCUAGUUCAAUUAUGAGUAACUAAUUUUCUUUCAAGCUUGGGUUGAAGGUGAAGUCUCAACAUGUGUCAUGGGCUUAAUUUGGUAAAUUUAUUUUCUCUUCCCCUCUAGUUUUUGUGGAUGUUUUGACUUCUCGUCGACAAAUAAUAAUAAUCUUGUCUAGAUACCGCCUUGGUUACACCGGCUCUCUAGUAUAAGGUUAUUAUUAUUUGGCACGAUAAGCCCUUAGCACCAUAUUGAUUAGAGCGUGGUUCAUGAGGUGUGGAUUCCCCCCUCAUGAUUUAAUUGGCAUUAAUACGGAUUAUUUAGCCCAUGAUGCAUGUUGAUACGGAUCCAGAUACCCAAGUACGUCAAUUUAAUCGAUUUUCUCUACAAUUUAUUCUCGCCAUUGCAAUUCCAAUUUUAGCAUAUUUAUUAUCGUCAUUUCAAUUCCAAUUUUAGCAUAUUUUAAAUCACUUCCACCACAAUUCCAACCACCCAUUUACAUAAUUAAUUCUACACACAAUUAAAAAUCCACCUCCUCGUGGGAUCGACACUCAUCACCAUUGAUCUAUACUACAAUAGAUUCGUGCACUUGCGAGUACAUUAAAAUUUGCACAACAAUGACUCUAAUCCAACGAUUGGGAUUUUAAAACUGAACAAUGAUGUGAAGUGGGCAAUUGUACAAUGACGUGAAGUGGGCAACUGUCCAAACCCGUUUCAGCUACCAAAUUAGUUUUAGGGUUUUAUAAACCCUUGCUCGUAUUUCAACAAACGUCAGUGAAAUUUUUCAAGCAGUAAUAUUUUCUUAAUUCUGGAUAACUGUAACUGAAGCAGUGAUGCCGCGAAUUUUUAAAGUGGAUUAUGGUGACUUGUAGUUUGUUGCGGUAGUAUUGAAUGAAACGAAAGGGAUUGCGUAUACUAAAACUUAAGGUAAGUGUAUUUUUAAUAUGAGAUUUUUUAUGUGAAUCAUUUUUUUAUCAUAAUAUAGUUGGUAGGAAACUAGAUUUCAUACUGAUAAUGGAAAAAUUGGGGAGCAAAAAUUUUUUUUAAAAUAAAUUUAUGGAUAUUUUCUCAACAAUAUAGUAAUGUUUAUUUUAGUAAUUUCAUGUAUUAAAAUGAUAUUCGAAUCCAUAGCAAUAAGUCCCAGUUAGCUUGGGUUUUAUUAAGUUUUACAAUGAACAUUUUCAAAAUUAGGAACAGGAAAAUUAAUAUUCCAACAACCAAUAUAGUAGAGUCCAUGGUUAGCAUUAAGAUGGUAACACAGGCAAAUGAUACAUGCUUACCCUUCGUUCCAGAUCUCCUCUGUUUAUUUUUUCCCCCAAUUUUUUUGUUUGUUUUGGGGUUAAUUAUAUGUAUUUGUUUUGUGCUGGACUAGGAAUGUAAGCUGUAUGAUGCUAUGAACUUUAGUUUGAUUAUAAUAAAUAAAGGUAUCGUUGAAUUUCAUAAAUUAAGUUGGUGGGAAGUAAUAAGCAUAAAUCAUGUGAGAUUGAUGGCGGUGCUAGAGAAGUUGGUGGUGAUCAAAGCAUUAAAGGAAGAAUAAAAUGGCAAUGUCGUGAUGAGUUCAUAAGACAUUUGUAAGCUUAGUUAAAGGUUCAUUAAAAUUUAUAGAGAUACAUAAUUUCGCAAUCAUAUGAUGAUAUUGCAGCGGUGAAGUCGUGCAUGAGGUUAAGGCAAGUGAUGGAAUGACUUGCGUUACAAAAGAGGUAUGUGAAGUUGCACUAUAAAAAUAAAAUGAAUUUGUAUUUUCAAGUAGUGAACGUGUAGUUAGUUUAUUUGCCAUGAUUGUGUACUGGACGGAAUUGAAUCCAUGUUUAAGAAUUUACCACUCGAAAGAAAAUGUCAAUACAAAGUCAAUGCGAAUGAAUAGUGAAGUCAGCAGUCGCAAAGGCAAAGUUCUUAACCAUAUGUACUCCAGAUAGAUUAGCGGUGGCAGUUUCACAGCUGACAGAUGAACAAAGAGUGGCUGCUUGUCAAAUGGGCUUUGGUAGUUAAUUGAGAUGAUUGAUACUGUGAGGUGCAUUUUAGAGUUGAAUGGUAUUAGCUUUCGAACAAGAUCAUCAAAGAAACUUCACCAACCAGGAAAUUUAGACUUAAUCUAUGCUCCGCAAAUUCAAAUAUUCUCUAAUAUGAAACUUCUUUUAUGUGCUUGUAGUAUCUCGACGAAUUAAAACUUGCUAUCAAAGUUCUUCCCCCCUUCUUCUUUCAUUUAUACUUGCUGCACCAUUUACUUCACACUCUGUAAAGCCAGAUGAAAGCUUGUUCAUUUAUGUUCACUUGCCAUUCAAAUGCAGUGUUUAUUUCAACUGUCAAAUUGACUACUUGCACGUAUUGAUUUCAGUCGAAACAAGGUUAUUGGUCGAUCAAGAAAUUGAAUCCAUAUGGCCGUUCCAGCGUUAUUCAACCACCUAAUUUCAAAUAUAUGAAUUAGUUCAACCCACUUCAGUGAUCAAAGGCGUGGAACAAAUCAUGAAAGAUUUUUCAGCUAUCAUAAAUUCGAACGGAUGUAGUUUGUAUCCUUUCAGGCUUAGACAGAUUUUCCUUCCAUUAACCUUACAGUGUUGUAAUUAAAAAAAAAAAAAAACUUACAGUGUUAGUAAUCUUAUUACUUGUUUUACAGCUACAAUAGUAUGCCGAAAUUUUUGGCUUUUGAUACAUAAACUUGUAUGUAAUGUACAUUUUAUUGUUCCUUACAACUUAAUUGCUGCUAAAAUAGUUGUUUCAACUAAUAUAUUUAUUGUUAUAAUAGAUAAACAUUUUCUUGCAACUCAAACAGUUCUGAUGGCAUGAUUUGCCAUCAAACGGCAACUUCGUUACAGACAAAAAGAGGGGUACAG